GGCAGAUCUAUUUUGGCUCAAAUGUGUAGC
rnacentral:piRNA from 1 species